UGGGGAAUCUUGCACAAUGGGCGCAAGCCUGAUGCAGCAACGCCGCGUGAGGGAUGACGGCCUUCGGGUUGUAAACCUCUUUUAGCAGGGAAGAAGCGCAAGUGACGGUACCUGCAGAAAAAGCACCGGCUCACCUCGUGCCAGCAGCCGCGGUAAUACGUACGGCGCCAGCGUUAAUCGGAAUUACUGGGGGUAAAGGGUGCGUAGGCGGGUAUGUAAGGUCGAGGGGAAAUCCCCGGGCUCCACGUG
rnacentral:rRNA from 1 species